UUCAAUUCAACUGAUCUCGUAGUUGUGUUUCACUGAAAAUUCUGUAACGUGUCCUUGCGAGCUCGGUGUUGUGCGUCCAACUGGACAAGGGAGCCCAAUCUGUACCUGAGCCUAUCGAAGACCUUGCUAGUGACAACAAAAAGGCCCAACCACACGUCCCCAUGGGUACGUUGGUAUUUCGGUGGGACUUCACUAAAACAGUGCGCCCUGACGGAGAGCGGCAUGCUAAGAGCACCCACAACAAAAACUACAAGUAAUUUCUACUUUCUAGGCUGUCCGAAGAAACUAUCUUCUACAAAAUGCAUAUUUUGUGUCCUUAUGUCUAUCCAAUUGUUUACUUUUCCUCUCACUGGAUCCUCUGCACCAGCUUUCUUCCUCCCUAUCCUCCACCACCAACCCGGUUUUUUCGCAAUGGGUAACGGCCGCAUACUCCAUCUGACGGCACACAACAGAGCUCAUCACCACAUCCUGCGGACCUGUGAGAAGCAAGGAGAGAGAAAGAGAAAAGUAAGAGCAAAUAACACGAAUCUCAGUGCAGAAUGCACAACAGCAGAUAGGGGAGGCGGCCGCAUAUACCAUUGCGGUUUGUCCUUUCCGGACAUGCAUCUGUUUGCAUCGGGAAGAGCUCCGCCGAGCGACUUCCGUUGGACCACCGUGAACUCCGCACACGACCUCCAUCAGGUGGCCGGAAGUUCCGCAUGCGACCUCCGAUGAGCGGCCACGAGUUCUGCCGAGCGAGUCUCCGAUGUGCCAGCAGUCGGAAGCGAGGAUGAGGAGAAAGCCAUGGAGGAUCGAAGGAAAGUUCCGUAGGGAUUGUUUAAGGCUCUGGUACCAUGUGAAAUGAUAUGCGGUAAUGAGUUAGCCUUCCUGGCAUCACUCGGUUGCAUGUUUAUACUGGAUGGGGAAUAGCCCCCCACCGGUAGCUCUUACAUGUGUCAGUUGUACAACAAGUUUAGG
rnacentral:lncRNA from 1 species